rnacentral:rRNA from 1 species
GAUGAACGCUGGCGGCGUGCCUAAUACAUGCAAGUCGAGCGAACAGACGAGGAGCUUGCUCCUCUGACGUUAGCGGCGGACGGGUGAGUAACACGUGGAUAACCUACCUAUAAGACUGGGAUAACUUCGGGAAACCGGAGCUAAUACCGGAUAAUAUAUUGAACCGCAUGGUUCAAUAGUGAAAGACGGUUUUGCUGUCACGUAUAGAUGGAUCCGCGCCGCAUUAGCUAGUUGGUAAGGUAACGGCUUACCAAGGCGCCGAUGCGUAGCCGACCUGAGAGGGUGAUCGGCCACACAGGAACCUAGACACGGUCCAGACUCCUACGGGCGGCAGCAGGAGGGUACUUUCCGCAACGGGCGAAAGCAUGACGGAGCAACGCCGCGUGAGCGAUGAAGGUCUUCGGAUCGUAAAACUCUGUUAUUAGGGAAAAACAAAUGUGUAAGUAACUAUGCACGUCUUGACGGUACCUAAUCAGAAAGCCACGGCUAACUACGUG